rnacentral:rRNA from 1 species
CCUACGGGGUGCUGCAGUGAGGAAUAUUGGUCAAUGGACGAGAGUCUGAACCAGCCAAGUAGCGUGAAGGAUGACUGCCCUAUGGGUUGUAAACUUCUUUUAUAUGGGAAUAAAAUGUUCCACGUGUGGGAUUUUGUAUGUACCAUAUGAAUAAGGAUCGGCUAACUCCGUGCCAGCAGCCGCGGUAAUACGGAGGAUCCGAGCGUUAUCCGGAUUUAUUGGGUUUAAAGGGAGCGUAGGUGGAUUGUUAAGGCAGUUGUGAAAGUUUGCGGCUCAACCGUAAAAUUGCAGUUGAAACUGGCAGUCUUGAGUACAGUAGAGGUGGGCGGAAUUCGUGGUGUAGCGGUGAAAUGCUUAGAUAUCACGAAGAACUCCGAUUGCGAAGGCAGUUCACUGGACUGCAACUGACACUGAGGCUCGAAAGUGUGGGUAUCAAACAGGAUUAGAUACCCUUGUAGUC